AUCGGUGCUUGCACCGAGAUUCAACAUGGAACGAGUGGCGGACGGGUGAGUAACACGUGGGUAACCUGCCCUUAAGUGGGGGAUAACAUUUGGAAACAGAUGCUAAUACCGCAUAGAUCCAAGAACCGCAGGGUUCUUGGCUGAAAGAUGGCGUAAGCUAUCGCUUUUGGAUGGACCCGCGGCGUAUUAGCUAGUUGGUGAGGUAAUGGCUCACCAAGGCGAUGAUACGUAGCCGAACUGAGAGGUUGAUCGGCCACAUUGGGACUGAGACACGGCCCAAACUCCUACGGGAGGCAGCAGUAGGGAAUCUUCCACAAUGGACGCAAGUCUGAUGGAGCAACGCCGCGUGAGUGAAGAAGGCUUUCGGGUCGUAAAACUCUGUUGUUGGAGAAGAAUGGUCGGCAGAGUAACUGUUGUCGGCGUGACGGUAUCCAACCAGAAAGCCACGGCUAACUACGUGCCAGCAGCCGCGGUAAUACGUAGGUGGCAAGCGUUAUCCGGAUUUAUUGGGCGUAAAGCGAGCGCAGGCGGUUUUUUAAGUCUGAUGUGAAAGCCCUCGGCUUAACCGAGGAAGCGCAUCGGAAACUGGGAAACUUGAGUGCAGAAGAGGACAGUGGAACUCCAUGUGUAGCGGUGAAAUGCGUAGAUAUAUGGAAGAACACCAGUGGCGAAGGCGGCUGUCUGGUCUGUAACUGACGCUGAGGCUCGAAAGCAUGGGUAGCGAACAGGAUUAGAUACCCUGGUAGUCCAUGCCGUAAACGAUGAAUGCUAGGUGUUGGGAAGGUUUCCGCCCUUCAGUGCCGCAGCUAACGCAUUAAGCAUUCCGCCUGGGGAGUACGACCGCAAGGUUGAAACUCAAAGGAAUUGACGGGGGCCCGCACAAGCGGUGGAGCAUGUGGUUUAAUUCGAAGCAACGCGAAGAACCUUACCAGGUCUUGACAUCUUUUGAUCACCUGAGAGAUCAGGUUUCCCCUUCGGGGGCAAAAUGACAGGUGGUGCAUGGUUGUCCUCAGCUCCUGUCCUGGGAAGUUUGGGUUAAUUCCCCCCACC
rnacentral:rRNA from 2 species